rnacentral:rRNA from 1 species
UACGUAGGGUGCGAGCGUUAAUCGGAAUUACUGGGCGUAAAGUGUGCGCAGGCGGCGUUGCAAGUCGAGUGUGAAAUCCCCGAGCUUAACUUGGGAAUUGCGCUCGAAACUACGAUGCUCGAGUGUGGCAGAGGAAGGUGGAAUUCCACGUGUAGCGGUGAAAUGCGUAGAUAUCUGGAGGAACACCGGUGGCGAAGGCGGCAUCCUGGACCAACACUGACACUGAGGAGCGAAAGCCAGGGGAGCAAACGGG